rnacentral:tRNA from 1 species
GCCUGAGUGGUGGAAUUGGUAGACGCGCACGACUCAAAAUCGUGUACCGAGAGGUGUGUCGGUUCGAUUCCGACCUCAGGCACCA